UCCAGAAUUAUAGUGGGAGAAAUUUGACGUUAAAAUUCUCACAAAUGCUCGUAUGACUAACGUUGCCCUAAUAUUUUACAUGAAUCAAAAAUCGUUGUCAUCGAAUUGGAAUAAAUUAACUCUUCUUUAUUAUAGAAAAUACAAUUACAUACCCUUUACAGGGAAUUACGACAAGGUCCCGAGGAAGAUCAAACGCCUUUAGAAAAAACGUCAUAAUGUCGAAUCAACAGAUUCAGAGACUGAAACCAAUCGACACGGAAAAUUGACCAAAAAUCAAGCAGCAGCUAUGACAAGGCCAACUUUUUCUUUGCCAGAACCAAUUGUCGAAGAAAAUGAUUCCUCUACAUCAAGAACAUGGAAAAUUCAUGGAGCUGAAAGCUCAAGAGAUGACAAUCAACCAACAGGUAAUGAGGCAGUGGGGGCUGGAGCAUCUCAAGCUACUAAUUACUGGAUUUGUUGACCUUCUCAUGUACAAAAUACGUGAUUGCACAAACGUGAAACCUGCCUCUAAUAUGAUCUAAGCAGGAAAAUCGAAAAGCUAAAGAUAAACAUGGCGUCCCCUAGAGAAGGAUUACCGAAACUCGCCCAUUAGGACAUUAGAAGAAUUCCUCGACUUCGAGAGGACUCUAGGCCCAAUGCAUGACGACGAUUUGGCUGAUCUUGAUUAUCACGAUUACUAGUGAUUGGCUAGCAGGUGUUGGCGGCAGAGAUGAAGGAUGUAUGGAACGUAAAAAGGAUGCUGACGGAGUUUAACUGGGGAAAGAACUGAGAGGGACGCCCCAUGACUCACCAGUCGGCAAAGACUAAAUUAAGACUUAAGACUUAAUUUGUCGAAUUUUGUGUUCAAAACAAUUCAGAGGAGUCAAGUUAAUUUUUCUUUUCCACCAUUAUGAAAGCUUUGUGUAGUUAGGACGAUGUAAGCACGAAUUUUCACAGAUAAGUUUUGUAGAUCAUAUUGAGAGCUAGUUCAGACGAAUAAUAGAACUUAUUUUUCAUUUUCUAUGUGGAGCUUUCGAAAGAUAUAUAUUCCAUUGUGAUUGCCGUGAUAAAGUCAAUUUAAAGUUCGUAUUGUUUCUAUUUGAUAGUUGCAUGGAUGUUCAUUUUCGUGAUUCGUCUUUUUCUCUUCGGGAAAGCUCAAACGAAAUCCUCUUUUUUAAUUAUGCUGACUGGACAUGGCAAUUUUAUGAAAUAUUUCAUUUUAAAGUACCACGACGACAUUAAUUGUCUUCCAUGAACAGGUUUUAGGAAUGUGUGGUGCACAUUCAAUUCUUCUCAACCAAAUUAUCUUUUUGUUUGUUUUCUCGGAUUUCUUGACAAUGACACUUAAGUUUUUUUCUCUCUUUCUUUUCAUAAAAUGAGAAGAAAUUGAGUGAGCGACUUCCAAUCCAAUUAAAUAAUUGUAUUAUCUCUUUUU